AAGGGAGACCUAAUUCGGGUAUAAGACGAAAAAAGAGUAGUCGAAACCAAGAAUCAAUCCCAAAAGGUCGGAACGAGGUAUGUGGCUUUCAAACUAGGUUCUGGGUUCACACAAGACCUGAAUCAGGAACAAGGGCUAUUAGCUCAGGUGGUUAGAGCGCACCCCUGAUAAGGGUGAGGUCCCUGGUUCGAGUCCAGGAUGGCCCACCUGCACAGGUGGCAAAAACAAAGAAGCGAGGAAUCAGCACCUUAUCUUAUCUAUAUAUAAGAGAGAAUGCUGGCUCUGAGUAAAGAGUCCAGAGGAACCUUGAAAACUGCAUAGAGCUAAGUGAAAAAGCCAAAAAAGAAGACCGCAA
rnacentral:tRNA from 1 species